UACGUAGGGAGCAAGCGUUAUCCGGAUUUAUUGGGUGUAAAGGGUGCGUAGACGGGAAAAUAAGUUAGUUGUGAAAUCCCCAGGCUUAACUUGGGAACUGCAACUAAAACUGUUUUUCUUGAGUGUUGGAGAGGAAAGCGGAAUUCCUAGUGUAGCGGUGAAAUGCGUAGAUAUUAGGAGGAACACCAGUGGCGAAGGCGGCUUUCUGGACAAUAACUGACGUUGAGGCACGAAAGUGUGGGGAGCAAAC
rnacentral:rRNA from 1 species